rnacentral:rRNA from 1 species
AGGGUGUAAACGCUGCAGACUUGGUGUUGGAGGCCCUUUGGGGGCAUUCAGUGCCGGAGAGAAGUUGUUAAGUCUGCUACUUGGGAGUACGUCCGCAAGGAUGAAACUUAAAGGAAUUGGCGGGGGAGCACCGCAACGGGAGGAGCGUGCGGUUUAAUUGGAUUCAACACCGUAAAACUCACCAGGGAAGACUGUUACAUGAAGGCCGAGAUGAAGACUCUGCUAGAUUUUUCAGAGAGGUGGUGCAUGGCGUCAGUGACU